AUCAAGCUGACGAGUCUUAAAUACGACGAAACAAGUGUCCUGGAU
rfam:Schistosoma margrebowiei strain Zambia genome assembly, scaffold: SMRZ_scaffold0000053